AUUGAACGCUAGCGGGAUGCCUUACACAUGCAAGUCGAACGGAGUGGCGAACGGGUGAGUAAUGUAUCGGAACGUGCCCAGUAGCGGGGGAUAACUACGCGAAAGCGUCGCUAAUACCGCAUACUAUCGGAGCGGCCGAUAUCGGAUUAGCUAGUUGGGGGGGUAAAGGCAUACCAAGGCGACGAUCCGUAUCUGGUUUGAGAGGACGACCAGGCACACUGGAACUGAGACACGGCCCAGACUCCUACGGGAGGCAGCAGUGGGGAAUUUUGGACAAUGGGGGAAAGCCUGAUCCAGCCAUGCCGCGUGUGCGAUGAAGGCCUUCGGGUUGUAAAGCACUUUUGGCAGGAAAGCGGUACCUGCAGAAUAAGCACCGGCUAACUACGUGCCAGCAGCCGCGGUAAUUC
rnacentral:rRNA from 1 species